rnacentral:rRNA from 1 species
UACGGGGGGGGCAAGCGUUGUUCGGAAUUACUGGGCGUAAAGGGCUCGUAGGUGGCCAACUAAGUCAGACGUGAAAUCCCUCGGCUUAACCCGGGAACUGCGUCCGAGACUGAAAGGCUUGAAUCCGGGAGAGGGAUGUGGAAUUCCAGGUGUAGCGGUGAAAUGCGUAGAUAUCUGGAGGAACAUCGGUGGCGAAGGCGGCAUCCUGGACCGGUAUUGACGCUGAGGCGCGAAAGCCAGGGGAGCAAACGGG